rnacentral:rRNA from 1 species
CCUACGGGUGGCUGCAGUGGGGAAUAUUGGACAAUGGGGGGAACCCUGAUCCAGCCAUGCCGCGUGUGUGAAGAAGGCCCUCGGGUUGUAAAGCACUUUCAGUGAGGAAGAACGCCUGGUGGUUAAUACCCAUCAGGAAAGACAUCACUCACAGAAGAAGCACCGGCUAACUCCGUGCCAGCAGCCGCGGUAAUACGUAGGGUGCGAGCGUUAAUCGGAAUUACUGGGCGUAAAGCGCGCGUAGGUGGCUUGAUAAGCCGGUUGUGAAAGCCCCGGGCUCAACCUGGGAACGGCAUCCGGAACUGUCAAGCUAGAGUGCAGGAGAGGAAGGUAGAAUUCCCGGUGUAGCGGUGAAAUGCGUAGAGAUCGGGAGGAAUACCAGUGGCGAAGGCGGCCUUCUGGACUGACACUGACACUGAGGUGCGAAAGCGUGGGUAGCAAACAGGAUUAGAUACCCUAGUAGUC